GGCUGGAUAGCUCAGUCGGUUAGAGCGAGGGACUCAUAAGCCCUAGGUCGGUGGUUCGAUUCCACCUCCAGCCA
rnacentral:tRNA from 1 species